AUACGGAGGGUGCAAGCGUUAAUCGGAAUUACUGGGCGUAAAGCGUACGUAGGCGGUCCGUUAAGUUAGAUGUGAAAGCCCCGGGCUUAACCUGGGAACUGCAUUUAAAACUGGCGGACUAGAGUUGAGUAGAGGGGAGUGGAAUUUCAGGUGUAGCGGUGAAAUGCGUAGAGAUCUGAAGGAACACCAGUGGCGAAGGCGACUCCCUGGACUCGAACUGACGCUGAGGUACGAAAGCGUGGGUAGCAAACGGGAUUAGAUACCCCUGUAGUCC
rnacentral:rRNA from 1 species